rnacentral:lncRNA from 1 species
ACCUGCACAUUAUAUUUUUCAGCCUUCGGGACCUACUGGAGGCUGAUCUUGUAUGGAUGUCACUUCCACUUGAAGAAACGUGCUUCCAUACUGUUCCAUCAUUCUGUGCAUUCUGUGAGAUAUCAAGUCAUCUUGAUAUGCCAAAUAUACCAUUUCACAGUCAUGUGAUCAUGUGGUGUCCCACGAUCAGGCUAUUCUCAGUAUGUGUCCUCUAAAGUCACUGAGGAUACUGGAAAUGAGAGAAGAAUUGUGUGUGGCAAGAUUAUAGGCCAAAUUUGCAAAGUCAUACAUCAAUUGUCCACGUUCUGUUGGUGAGAAUGAACCACAUCAGCCACCUAGAGUUGCAGCCUGGCCCACAAGAAUGCUCCCUACCAACUGAUGCAGCUUGGGCACUGCAUGAGAGCUCCAUCAAGUGCAGCAGCCCUGGCAAACUGCCCAUGAGUGCAGAGCAGGCC